CCUGCCUCUCAUCAGCUCAUCAGUUUGCAGUAUAUCUACCCUCUCCUCUCUCUUUAACCAGACCUCACCAGAUUGUUGUUUCAACCAUAUUGGAUCAUCACCCGUCUGCCUGUCUUCCUGCUUGUCUGUCUGCCUGCCAGCAACCUCCAAGUCUCCAAGGUACCCCUACACUACCCCUCACUCUCUCCUGCUCACGCCAGCCACGCUCCUCCAUCACUCACCCCUGCUGUCUCUGGAUCCCUAUUCCCUGCCAUCAGCCCCUCAUCCAGAUCCUCCUCCAUAAUAAAACUAUUUUGUUACUGCA